GACGGGCCGCACAAGCGGUGGAGUAUGUGGUUUAAUUCGAUGCAACGCGAAGAACCUUACCUGGUCUUGACAUCCCGGAGACCCUUAGGAAACUAGGGGUGCUUCCAUCUGGAAGAAUCUGGAGACAGGUGCUGCAUGGCUGUCGUCAGCUCGUGUCGUGAGAUGUUGGGUUAAGUCCCGCAACGAGCGCAACCCUUGCCUUUAGUUGCCAGCAGUUCGGCUGGGCACUCUAAAGGGACUGCCGGUGUUAAACCGGAGGAAGGUGGGGAUGACGUCAAGUCCUCAUGGCCUUUAUGACCAGGGCUACACACGUACUACAAUGGCCGAUACAAAGGGCAGCGACACUGCGAGGUGAAGCCAAUCCCGUAAAAUCGGUCUCAGUCCGGAUUGGAGUCUGCAACUCGACUCCAUGAAGUUGGAAUCGCUAGUAAUCGUGGAUCAGCAUGCCACGGUGAAUACGUUCCCGGGCCUU
rnacentral:rRNA from 1 species